rnacentral:rRNA from 1 species
GUAGGGAAUAUUGCACAAUGGGGGAAACCCUGAUGCAGCGACGCCGCGUGAGUGAUGAAGGCCUUCGGGUCGUAAAGCUCUGUCGUAUGGGACUAACAAAAUGAAGGUACCAUGCAAGAAAGGAUCGGCUAACUUCGUGCCAGCAGCCGCGGUAAGACGAGGGAUCCUAGCGUUGUUCGGAAUUAUUGGGCGUAAAGCGGGUGUAGGCGGGCCUGUCAGUCAGGUGUGAAAUCCCAGGGCUUAACCCUGGAAGUGCACUUGAUACUGCAGGUCUUGAGUGUGGUAGAGGCUAUUAGAAUUCUUGGUGUAGUGGUGAAAUACGUAGAUAUCAAGAGGAAUACCGGAGGCGAAGGCGGAUAGCUGGGCCAACACUGACGCUGAGACCCGAAAGCGUGGGGAUCAAACAGGAUUAGAAACCCGAGUAGUCC